CACCUACUCCCUCCGUUCGGAAUUACUUGUCGCAGAAAUGGAUGUAUCUAGACAUAUUUUAGUUCUAGAUACAUCCAUCUCCGAGACAAGUAAUUCCGAACGGAGGGAGUAGUAG
rfam:Triticum aestivum genome assembly, contig: Triticum_aestivum_CS42_TGACv1_scaffold_604017_7DL